rnacentral:rRNA from 1 species
GACGAACGCUGGCGGCGUGCCUAAUACAUGCAAGUCGAGCGAAGUUUUUCUGGUGCUUGCACUAGAAAAACUUAGCGGCGAACGGGUGCGUAACACGUAAAGAACCUGCCUCAUAGACUGGGACAACUAUUGGAAACGAUAGCUAAUACCGGAUAACAGCAUUAACUGCAUGGUUGAUGUUUAAAAGUUGGUUUUGCUAACACUAUGAGGUGGCUUUGCGGUGCAUUAGCUAGUUGGUGGGGUAAAGGCCUACCAAGGCGACGAUGCAUAGCCGACCUGAGAGGGUGGUCGGCCACACUGGGACUGAGACACGGCCCAGACUCCUACGGGAGGCAGCAGUAGGGAAUCUUCCGCAAUGGGCGAAAGCCUGACGGAGCAACGCCGCGUGAGUGAAGAAGGAUUUCGGUUCGUAAAGCUCUGUUGUUAGGGAAGAAUGAUUGUGUAGUAACUAUACACAGUAGAGACGGUACCUAACCCGAAAGCCACGGCUAACUACGUGCCAGCAGCCGCGGUAAUACGUAGGUGGCAAGCGUUGUCCGGAGUUAUUGGGCGUAAAGCGCGCCCAGGUGGUUUAAUAAGUCUGAUGUGAAAGCCCACGGCUCAACCGUGGAGGGUCAUUGGAAACUGUUAAACUUGAGUGCAGGAGAGAAAAGUGGAAUUCCUAGUGUAGCGGUGAAAUGCGUAGAGAUUAGGAGGAACACCAGUGGCGAAGGCGGCUUUUUGGCCUGUAACUGACACUGAGGCGCGAAAGCGUGGGGAGCAAACAGGAUUAGAUACCCUGGUAGUCCACGCCGUAAACGAUGAGUGCUAAGUGUUGGUCUCAUAAGAGAUCAGUGCUGCAGCUAACGCAUUAAGCACUCC